rnacentral:tRNA from 1 species
GUCUUUGUGAUGUAGUGGUUAGCACACUCGACGCGUAACCGAGAGGUCAGUGGUUCGAAUCCCUGCGAAGGCG